rnacentral:rRNA from 1 species
UACAGAGGGGGCAAGCGUUAUUCGGAAUUACUGGGCGUAAAGCGCGCGUAGGCGGCUUUGCAAGUCGGGUGUGAAAUCCCCAGGCUUAACCUGGGAACUGCAUUCGAGACUGCAUUGCUAGAGUAUGGGAGAGGGAAGUGGAAUUUCCGGCGUAGCGGUGAAAUGCGUAGAUAUCGGAAGGAACAUCAGUGGCGAAAGCGACUUCCUGGACCAAUACUGACGCUCAUGUGCGAAAGCGUGGGGAGCAAACAGG